GCAACUCGACUACAUGAAGCUGGAAUCGCUAGUAAUCGCGAAUCAGAAUGUCGCGGUGAAUACGUUCCCGGGUCUUGUACACACCGCCCGUCACACCAUGGGAGUCAGUAACGCCCGAAGUCAGUGACCCAACCAUAAAGGAGGGAGCUGCCGAAGGUGGGACCGAUAACUGGGGUGAAGUCGUAACAAGGUAAC
rnacentral:rRNA from 1 species